UACGAAGGGGGCGAGCGUUGUUCGGAAUUACUGGGCGUAAAGGGCGCGUAGGCGGUCCUUCAAGUCAGGCGUGAAAGCCCCGGGCUCAACCUGGGAACCGCGCUUGAGACUGGCGGACUCGAGUUCGGGAGAGGAUGGUGGAAUUCCCAGUGUAGAGGUGAAAUUCGUAGAUAUUGGGAAGAACACCGAUGGCGAAGGCAGCCAUCUGGACCGACACUGACGCUGAGGCGCGAAAGCGUGGGGAGCACACAGG
rnacentral:rRNA from 1 species